rnacentral:rRNA from 1 species
UACGAAGGGGGCUAGCGUUGUUCGGAAUUACUGGGCGUAAAGCGCACGUAGGCGGCGCGACAAGUUAGGCGUGAAAUGCCUGGGCUUAACCCAGGAACUGCGCUUAAGACUGUCGUGCUAGAGACUAGGAGAGGGUGGCGGAAUUCCCAGUGUAGAGGUGAAAUUCGUAGAUAUUGGGAAGAACACCGGUUGCGAAGGCGGCCACCUGGACUAGAACUGACGCUGAGGUGCGAAAGCGUGGGGAGCAAACAGG